rnacentral:misc_RNA from 1 species
AAGUCGUAACAAGGUUUCCGUAGGUGAACCUGCGGAAGGAUCAUUAACACGUAUCCACGUUCAACCAACCGCGAACUCGUUUUCAACUCUCCCUUUGAGGUACAUGAAUUGGCAACUGAAUAGAGUAGUGAGUGGGGCUUUCGGGCCAGCUCUAUUCAGCCACUGAGGUGAUUCGUCACUUCGACAAUUGUAGUGCUCUGAAGGCAAAACCCUUCUAUUACUUGUAUCUCCAUUCAUGAUACAGGUAGUGGGAAAAUUUACUAACCUAUUUCACCCCCUUUUUGCUAGUUGACUUUUAUAUGUUGUUUCCGUCACGAUUCAUUUCGUGUUUGGUUGCACACGUUUAAUUACUUGAACGUUAAAAUACAACUCUUAGCAAUGGAUAUCUUGGUUCUC